rnacentral:rRNA from 1 species
GACGAACGCUGGCGGCGCGCUUAACACAUGCAAGUCGAGCGAGAACCGGGGCUUCGGCCCCGGGGACAGCGGCGAACGGGUGAGUAACACGUGAGUAACCUGCCCUCGGCACCGGAAUAGCCCGGGGAAACCCGGAUUAAUGCCGGAUGGCCCCUCUGCCCUGCGGGGCGGCGGGAAAAGGUAGCUUCGGCCUCCGGCCGAGGAUGGGCUCGCGGCGGAUUAGCUUGUUGGCGGGGUAACGGCCCACCAAGGCGACGAUCCGUAGCUGGUCUGAGGGGACGAUCAGCCACACUGGGACGGAGACACGGCCCAGACUCCUACGGGAGGCAGCAGUGGGGAAUCUUGCGCAAUGGGCGAAAGCCUGACGCAGCGACGCCGCGUGCGGGAAGAAGGCCCUCGGGUUGUAAACCGCUUUCAGGAGGGACGAAGCCACUCGGGUGAACAGCCCAGAGGGUGACGGUACCUCCAGAAGAAGCCCCGGCUAACUACGUGCCAGCCGCCGCCGUAAGAC